rnacentral:rRNA from 1 species
UACAGAGGGUGCAAGCGUUAUUCGGAGUUACUGGGCGUAAAGAGCACGUAGGCGGUUUGAUAAGUCCGAUGUGAAAUCCCUGGACUCAAUUCAGGAAGUGCAUUGGAUACUGUCAGACUAGAGUAUAGGAGAGGAGAGUGGAAUUCCUGGUGUAGAGGUGAAAUUCGUAGAUAUCAGGAGGAACAACAGAGGCGAAGGCGACUCUCUGGACUAUUACUGACGCUGAGGUGCGAAAGCGUGGGGAGCAAACAGG